AAAGUGGGACUCCUACUGGAGGCAUCCCUGGGGCUCCUACUUACCCGCAGUGGGAGAAAAAAGGAUGUAGCAGUGGGACUCCUACGGGAGGCAGCAGUGGGGCAGUUGGCUCAGAACGAACGCUGGCGGCUGGCUCAGAACGAACGCUGGCGGCCGGCUCAGAACGAACGGUGGCAGCUGGCUCAGAACGAACGCUGGCGGCCCCACUCCUACGGGAGGCAGCAGUGGGACUCCUACGGGAGGCAGCAGUGGGACUCCUACG
rnacentral:misc_RNA from 1 species